CACAUGAGCAGACGGCCUGCGUCAUUCUGUUCUUAUUCGUAUCCUCAUCCUCGUGCUCGCCAAACCAUCCUUUGAUACGCUAACGUGAUUCUCGCGCCUGCCUCUAAUUUUGCCCAGAUAACCUUUGCUAGUCACCCAGAUGCUGCAGUGGCGAUAAAGGUGUUUUCACGCAUCAGCAUGGAACCUAUGUGAAAAGGAAUUCUUCAGGAACCCUGUCUUUCCCUAGCAUCCUCACCCUCUGACCUUAGACAACCCAGCAAGCUCUCUCCUUCCCCUUCGUACCUUACCGCCAGCGCCAGUCUGUCAGUCCAAGGGAAACAGUCCUUGUUGAUCGCUGUAUUGCUGCUUUCUUCCGUCGACCAGAUUGAAGACAGAGCCGUUAAGGUGACGCACACGUGACGUUACAUUCGCAGCUUCAGCGACAGCGGUGCACCGCGUGUCAGAGAAAGGGUUAAGUGCUGAGACUGCGGCAGACCUCUCCUCCAAACCACCCGAGUGCCAAGUCCCACACACGCCAGGAUAAGAAAGAAAGCUGUGGUUGGGAUAAUCCUUUCAACAGUCAUUUUGUUCUGUGAGUAUUAAUUUAUUUUUCC